rnacentral:lncRNA from 1 species
AUUUCUGAUGUAUGUAUUUGCAUAGGUCCCGUUCCUGCGUUUCAUUAUAAGGACAGAUUGAAUGAGAAGGUAGGUAGUCAGCACUACACAUGCCGGAGAGGGACAGUGACGUAUCUACUGAGAAUUCAUAGGAGGAUUCUCUAUUCUAAGUAAGAUUCUUCCAAGGAGAUGAGUUCAGAUGGAAUUCAGGUGGAACCUCUUUCGGAAAGCCCAGAGAGGGAAUCGUGCACAGGAGAUUCAGCAUCUGCCCAAAGAACAAAGGAAAUCCCUUAUUUUAGUGGCCUUUAAAGGAGAGAGUUCUCCUAGUUAGAGGGAAGGGGCUUCUGAGGGUAGCAACUUUGUGACAAUAUUAGACAGGAUAUGAAGAGACUACACUGUGGAUGCCUCAUAGUCAGGUGAGAGGAACCCUGGUUUGUUCCAAGAAUGACUUUUGGAAUCAUGCUGCCCUGCCUUCUGCAUCUUCACCAAGAAUUUGCUACCAGAGACAAAGCUCUACUUCUACUUGAUUACUUCUGGCCCAUAUCCAGCAGGAAGCAGCCAAAAUAGCCCAGCAAUCAUUGGUAUAUCAUCUUCUUCCUCUGAAGGAGCAGCAGCCAUUUCUCCAGUGCUGGCCAAGAGGGGUGUUGAAAGGGAGACGCUGCUGGUUCCCUGUAUCUAAAAGACUGAUUAUAUACGUUGCUUUUCCACAUGUCGGUGUUCCUAGUUUGUAGUGUGAAUAUUUGUGUGUUUAAGCUAGACUUAUUUGGAACGAAUAUAUAUAUUCUUCUGAAUUAAAAUGCUUCUGAAAAUACAGAUUCUUCUUGUAUCCUUAGUUAUUUCCUUUGCCUCCUGUUUUCACAAAUUUCAUACUUAUCUUAC